rnacentral:tRNA from 1 species
GGCGCUGUGCCCGAAUGGUUAGGGAGUGGUCUGCAAAACCAUCGAAACCGGUUCGAUUCCGGUCGGCGCCUCCA